rnacentral:rRNA from 1 species
UACGUAGGGGGCAAGCGCUGUCCGGAAUCAUUGGGCGUAAAGAGCGUGUAGGCGGCUCGAUAAGUCGGCUGUGAAAGUCAGGGGCUCAACCCUUGAAAGCCGGCCGAUACUGUCGGACUAGAGUCCGGAAGGAGGCAAGGUGGAAUUCCCGGAUGUAGCGGUGAAAUGCGCAGAUAUCGGGAGGAACACCAAUGGCGAAGGCAGCUUGCUGGGGACGGUACUGACGCUGAGGCGCGAAAGCGUGGGGAGCAACAGGGAUAGAAACCUUGAUACGUCCAGG